rnacentral:tRNA from 1 species
GCCUUCGUGGUGUAGUGGUCAGCAUGCUCGAUACUUAACCGAGAGAUCCGUGGUUCGAUUCCCGGCGAAGGCG